rfam:Triticum aestivum genome assembly, contig: Triticum_aestivum_CS42_TGACv1_scaffold_093305_2AL
UAUAUACUCCCUCCGUCCGGAAAUACUUGUCAUCAAAAUGAAUAAAAGGAUGUAUCUAGAUGUAUAUUAGUUUUAGAUAUAUCUCUUUUUAUCCAUUUUGAUGACAAGUAUUUUCGAACGGAGGGAACUGUAUAAA